GAUGAACGCUGGCGGCGUGCUUAACACAUGCAAGUCGAACGAAGAUACUUAAAAUGAGAGCUUCGGCAGGAUUUUUAUUUAUCUUAGUGGCGGACGGGUGAGUAACGUGUGGGCAACCUGCCCUAUACUGGGGAAUAAUCACUGGAAACGGUGACUAAUACCGCAUGUCAUCACGAGAAGGCAUCUUUUUGUGAGAAAAGGAGUAAUUCGGUAUAGGAUGGGCCCGCAUCUGAUUAGCUAGUUGGUGAGAUAACAGCCCACCAAGGCGACGAUCAGUAGCCGACCUGAGAGGGUGAUCGGCCACAUUGGGACUGAGACACGGCCCAAACUCCUACGGGAGGCAGCAGUGGGGAAUAUUGCACAAUGGGGGAAACCCUGAUGCAGCAACGCCGCGUGAAGGAAGAAGGUUUUCGGAUCGUAAACUUCUAUCAACAGGGACGAAGAAAGUGACGGUACCUGAAUAAGAAGCCCCGGCUAACUACGUG
rnacentral:rRNA from 1 species